CACGUAGGGCGCAAGCGUUGUCCGGAAUUAUUGGGCGUAAAGAGCUCGUAGGCGGUCUGUUGCGUCCGCUGUGAAAACUCGGGGCUUAACCCCGAGCCUGCAGUGGAUACGGGCAGACUAGAGGUAGGUAGGGGAGAAUGGAAUUCCCGGUGUAGCGGUGAAAUGCGCAGAUAUCGGGAGGAACACCGGUGGCGAAGGCGGUUCUCUGGGCAGUUACUGACGCUGAGGAGCGAAAGCAUGGGGAGCGAACAGG
rnacentral:rRNA from 1 species